rnacentral:rRNA from 1 species
CGCAUCUGUGCAUGCAGCAUAUCAAUAAGCGGAGGAAAAGAAACUAACAAGGAUUCCCCUAGUAACGGUGAGUGAAGCGGGAAGAACUCAAAUUUGAAAUCUUCAAGGUUUUACCUUGACGAAUUGUAGUUUAAAGAAGUGUUUUCUGUUGAAGUUUUGGUAAAAGUUCUUUGGAAUAGGACAUCAUAGAGGGUGAGAAUCCCGUAUUUGACCAUUAUUUUCAGCUGUGUGAUACACUUUCAAAGAGUCGGAUUGUUUGGGAAUGCAGUCCAAAAUGGGUGGUAAAUUUCAUCUAAAGCUAAAUAUUGGCGAGAGACCGAUAGCGAACAAGUACCGUGAGGGAAAGAUGAAAAGAACUUUGAAAAGAGAGUUGAAACAGUACGUGAAAUUGUCAAAAGGGAAGCGUUUCGACACCAGUGUCGUUUUCUCGAAAAUCAAUUAAAAAGAGUUUGAUUUUGUUGUGUAUUGACCUUAACAGCUUGCAUUUCAAUUUUCUUGCUUUUUUUAAUGCACUUUCGUUUAACAAGUCAACAUCAGUUUCUUUUGUUGUAAAAAGGUCAUUGGAAGGUGGCUUUCUUUUCGGAGGGAAAGUGUUUAUAGCCUUUGACUCCUGCAAUCGGAGAGACUGAGGUCUGCAGCGUAGAUCCUUCGGGGUUAGAUACAUUUGUGCUAAGUUAUAGCUUUUUAUAGACAACUUGUUGACUAUGAUUAGUCUUGUAGCUUACUCGCUUAUGCUAUUUUACCUACGCUUAGGAUGUUGACACACGCGCGUGCUCG